rnacentral:rRNA from 1 species
GACGAACGCUGGCGGCGCGCUUAACACAUGCAAGUCGAGCGAAGCGGCGGACGGGUGAGUACCACGUGAGUAACCUGCCUUAGACAUUGGGAUAGCCUCGGGAAACCGGGAUUAAUCCCAAAUGAUCUAAGAUGGACUCGCGUCCCAUUAGCGAGUUGGUGAGGUACCGGCCCACCAAGGCGACGAUGGGUAGCCGGCCGGAGAGGGUGAACGGCCACAUUGGAGCUGAGAAACGGUCCAAACUCUACGGGAGGCAGCAGUGUGGAAUAUUGCACAAUGGAGGGAAAUCUGAGGCAGCGACGCCUCGUGGGGGAUGAAGGCUUUCGGGUUGUAAACCUCUUUCGCUAGCGAACGGGUAGGUGGAGAAGAAGCGCCGGCUAACUACGGGCCAGCAGCCGCGGUAAUAC